UGAGAUCCAUUUGCAUCGAGGGGCAAUAUUUCCAUUCUCCAUUAUUGAAAAAGGUUUGAAGGGAUCAAAGCCAUACUGCAGUGGCAGUCUUUAUAUAAGUUCACACGGUCCGAUGAAAGUUUCUAAUAUUCUUCACAAAAUCAGAUGAUACCUAUGAUUUUAUACAACAGGCACCAGCAUUAUAAUGAAUAUAUGAAGAUCAUUAAUAAAGAAAGAUUUCUUCUUCAACUACUUAUCAGGAAAGGCUUGAAGAAUCAAGAUACAAUGGCAAUCUUCGUACAAAUUAACACAGCUCAA